ACCCUCUUUGGUGUAACGGGUCAGUUUGUCUAGCUGUUAACCAGAAGGUUGGUGGUUCAAGCCCACCCAGGAAUG